UAGGGAAUCUUCCACAAUGGACGCAAGUCUGAUGGAGCAACGCCGCGUGAGUGAAGAAGGUCUUCGGAUUGCAAAACUCUGUUGUUAGAGAAGAACACGAGUGAGAGUAACUGUUCAUUCGAUGACGGUAUCUAACCAGCAAGUCACGGCUAACUACGUGCCCG
rnacentral:rRNA from 1 species